CGCACCGGUACAGUGACCGGGUCGUCGUCAGGACCGUGUGAGGGGAAGCCGGUGGGAAUCCGGCGCUGACCCGCAGCCGUGAGCCGCCCGUGAGAACGGGCCGGCGCAGCCGGAAUGCCUCACCGGACUCAUGACCGCUCA
rfam:Streptomyces sp. MBRL 601 scaffold00813, whole genome shotgun sequence.